UAGGGAAUCUUCGGCAAUGGGGGCAACCCUGACCGAGCAACGCCGCGUGAGUGAAGAAGGUUUUCGGAUCGUAAAGCUCUGUUGUAAGAGAAGAACGUGUGUGAGAGUGGAAAGUUCACACAGUGACGGUAACUUACCAGAAAGGGACGGCUAACUACGGUGCCAG
rnacentral:rRNA from 1 species